rnacentral:rRNA from 1 species
AUUGAACGCUGGCGGCAGGCCUAACACAUGCAAGUCGAACGGUAACAGGAAGCAGCUUGCUGCUUUGCUGACGAGUGGCGGACGGGUGAGUAAUGUCUGGGAAACUGCCUGAUGGAGGGGGAUAACUACUGGAAACGGUAGCUAAUACCGCAUAACGUCGCAAGACCAAAGAGGGGGACCUUAGGGCCUCUUGCCAUCGGAUGUGCCCAGAUGGGAUUAGCUAGUAGGUGGGGUAACGGCUCACCUAGGCGACGAUCCCUAGCUGGUCUGAGAGGAGGACCAGCCACACUGGAACUGAGACACGGUCCAGACUCCUACGGGAGGCAGCAGUGGGGAAUAUUGCACAAUGGGCGCAAGCCUGAUGCAGCCAUGCCGCGUGUAUGAAGAAGGCCUUCGGGUUGUAAAGUACUUUCAGCGGGGAGGAAGGGAGUAAAGUUAAUACCUUUGCUCAUUGACGUUACCCGCAGAAGAAGCACCGGCUAACUCCGUG